AUUGAACGCUGGCGGCAGGCUUAACACAUGCAAGUCGAGCGGAGCGAGGGUGCUUGCACCUUAGCUUAGCGGCGGACGGGUGAGUAAUGCUUAGGAAUCUGCCUAUUAGUGGGGGACAACAUUCCGAAAGGAAUGCUAAUACCGCAUACGUCCUACGGGGGAAAGCAGGGGAUCUUCGGACCUUGCGCUAAUAGAUGAGCCUAAGUCGGAUUAGCUAGUUGGUGGGGUAAAGGCCUACCAAGGCGACGAUCUGUAGCGGGUCUGAGAGGAUGAUCCGCAACACUGGGACUGAGACACGGCCCAGACUCCUACGGGAGGCAGCAGUGGGGAAUAUUGGACAAUGGGCGGAAGCCUGAUCCAGCCAUGCCGCGUGUGUGAAGAAGGCCUUUUGGUUGUAAAGCACUUUAAGCGAGGAGGAGGCUACUAGUAUUAAUACUACUGGAUAGUGGACGUUACUCGCAGAAUAAGCACCGGCUAACUCUGUGCCAGCCGCCGCCGUAAAAC
rnacentral:rRNA from 1 species